rnacentral:lncRNA from 1 species
CAGCAGUGAGAUAGCUGCUUCAGUGUCUUUUCAGAGCUAGCCUGAGGUGAGUAGAAUGGAUCUUUACGUUUCAAAGUAAAUAAAUUUAGAGCAUGUUCAUGCAUCACAAAUGCCAUGUGAUAUAUUAGGUUGUUUGCACUAGAAUUCACGAAUAUGUUGCAUUGCAUAAUAUAAUGUUGAUGUGGAUGGGUGUUGAAUUAUCCAUUAGCCCUCGUAUGAUGACAUGAUAUGAUAUGAUAUGGUAUGGUAUGUAAGACCAGUGAGGCCCAUUCUACGCCCCUGGUACGAUGUAAGAGAAAGACCAGUGAGGCCCAUGCUACGCCCCUGGCAUAUUGGAAUGUUAUGUUAUGUUAUAUAAGAGAAAGACUAGUGAGGCCCAUGCUACGCCCCUGGCACUAUUGGAAUGUGUAGAGGGCUAUUGGUGACAAGUCCAUCCUUG